AUUGAACGCUGGCGGCACGCUUAACACAUGCAAGUCGAACGGUAGCAGGCUCGGGUAACCGAGUGCUGACGAGUGGCGGACGGGUGAGUAGAGUGUAGGGAUUUACCUUAUAGAGGGGGAUAGCCUGGGGAAACUCAGGAUAAUACCGCGUACGCCCUAAGGGGGAAAGGAUGGGACCGCAAGGCCAUUCGCUGUAAGAUGAACCUACACAAGAUUAGCUAGUUGGUGGGGUAAAGGCCUACCAAGGCGAAGAUCUUUAGCUGGUCUGAGAGGACGAUCAGCCACACUGGGACUGAGACACGGCCCAGAGUCCUACGGGAGGCAGCAGUGGGGAAUAUUGGAUAAUGGGCGCAAGCCUGAUCCAGCGAUGCCGCGUGAGUGAAGAAGGCCUUUGGGUUGUAAAGCACUUUUGUUGGGGAAGAAUAGUAUUGAUUCGAAUAGGGUUGAUAUGUGACGGUACCCAACGAAUAAGCACCAGCUAACUCUGUGCCAGCAGCCGCGGUAA
rnacentral:rRNA from 1 species